rnacentral:lncRNA from 1 species
CUUGAUCUUUGUCACCAUCGUUUUCCUUUUCCACAACAAUCAUGUUUCGUUGCUUGAGGCCCUCUACAAGAGCACGCCGUACAUUAGACUCUGGUUGUAGCUGCAUCUCCUGUCUGCGUUUGUUGAAGAGUUCUCGUCUGAUCCACGUCUGCACCUCGGUGUAGUUUUUUAGGAAGAGCCAAAACUCUCCAACCUGGACGUCGUUGGCAUCCUCGAUAACUAACUCGGCCUGUUGCUGGGGUAGGAGGUAAGAAAUUAUGGCGGCGUCUUUUGUCGCAAAGAAGCGAGGCGAGUUCUCCUGGAACUGCUGUACCAUGCGCCCCCCGAGUUCCCAGAAUGUGUCAAGACGAUCAAGUACUUCUUCAAUGUUUUCGACCCUAAUCCGACAAUACGCGUGGCUUCGACGUUUAUGGCCAGCCGAGCCGUCCUUGAAAAUGUCAGGUAGCAAGCAGUCCUCCAACGUGAGACACAUAAUUCCAUCCUGGUUCGGAUCCGACUGCAGCUGGCAUUUCGACAGCGGUUCCACAUCAUCACCGCGUAGCACUGCGUCGCUGUUUCUGCUGGUGUCUUCACACUGAUUUUCUGCAGCUCGGCCCCCGCCGCCUUCUUCAUAGUGUGCGCGAUGGGCUUUUUCCUGACGAUACGCCUCAAACACGUGCUGGACUUCCUCUUCGCGGAGAAGGAAGUCGCGCCGCGCCCGUUCGUCAUCUACAAUAUCUUUCACAAGCUGGUAGAAGGGUGCGAAUGCACAGUUCAGCCUCUGCUGAAGACGGACACCUCGCGUGCCGUCCGCUGCUGGAGAGGUUCCGAGUUCUCCAUAUGCGUCCUCUGCGUUUGCUGGUUGAUGCAUCCGGGGGGGAUGUGCUGGGUGGUGCCGCAGAAGGUACUGUCCUAACCAGCAGAGGGGGUUGAAGCGCUUGUGGUAUUCUGUUCCUAGUCUCUUUUUGCUCGCAUCGGCGAUCAGCAGUUCGACAACCCUACACAGGGCCACCAAACCGUCGUGAAGGAGGGGCACGAGAAGCUCUGCUAAAUACGUGUCCAAGUCGUCACCACGAUUCGUAAUUGCGGAAGUUUGCAGCGACUCCUGCGUGACUGUCAUCCACCCAGACCCGUGUCGGACUACACCGUAGGGAGCUAGCGGACUUGAUUCGUCGCGUUUCUUAAGGCAUCCAGGAAAAGCUUCUUGCAAUUCUCCGUUGUUCUGGACAUCUUGUUGAAGAGAUGCGUGAACGUACGCGCAUAUAUCCGUGUAGGCUCCACCCAGUCGGUCUUCCGGACUUGCUCCGCCCUCGGGGGACUCACUGUCUAGAAGCUGGGGCGUCGAGAGCGAGAAGCUCCCAAUUCUGUUGGACGGAGACACGGCUUGUCGGGAGGCAAAGCUACCCAACUGACGCUGUCUACGACAUGCGGCUGCGACGAGAAAACGCGUGCGAUUCGCUCGAAGUUUCUCUAUGACAUAUUCCACAUCUUUCAGGUGCCUCAAGUAAACCAUCGGGGAAUCAAUGCACCUCCCUUUCGACCUUCCCGAAGGCUGGUUGACGCCAGCUUUGGUUGCCGACUGCAUUGGAUGAGACUGUUCUCUAGAAGUAACGAGUUAACAGCGGGAGGGUUGACACCGACGGGAGCGGGGGAAGGAAAUAAGUUUUGCGGAAUCCAGUAACAGCGGACACAGCGGCAGAUUGAAUGAGGAGGAUAUUUGGAGGCUUCUUUCGAAAAGAGGUGCACGGGAUUCAAGCAUGCUCGCCUCAUCAAAUGAAAUAACCUUGAAGAGUUCACCGCGUCGUGGGUCAACGGGACCUUGUGACAGAUAUCGUGUUCCACGAGAGUGUCGAAGCGGCUGAAAACACCGCUACUAUGCUAUUUUUCUCUUGGCGACGCAGCAUACGAACUGGACUUGACUGUGAGUCGCCAAGUGCUCGACUUGCCUGUCGAUAUGUCGCCCGUUUGCGGGGGAUCAGCGAAUCCUCUCAUGCCCUUACCUACAGAACCGGUCAUGACUACAGCGU